UUGGCAUUAAAGAACGAUCAC
rnacentral:piRNA from 1 species